CCCAUCUGCAGGAAAAUUAAGAAGUUACACCUUCGAGUGCAAAUAUUAUAUGAACUGAUGCUUUGCUCGCUCAAAUUAAUAAGAUUGCUGGAGCACUCCAACCUUUGUAUAGCUUCAUUGAAUUUCCGACACUCCUCCAAAGUAGCACGGACAUCAUAGACAGAUAGUGAUUAUACCUAGAAAGAGCCUUGAGCUCCUUCAAGUGGAGACGUUGCAGAAGGACAAAAUCCAGCUUGGCAAACUCCAGAAUGGAUGAGUUAUGUGUCGGCUCUCCUUUGUACUCUGAGAUAUAAUUUAGAGCCUCAACUCUUCUUAAGGUCCGUGACAGUGGUAGGUGAAGGGCUCGGUUCACUUGCUGGGCCAAUGGGUAUUCAAGCUUGUUUCUCAUCGAUUCAAGAUGUUGCCUCGCAAAUAAGAUAGCCUCUUCUAGUUCUGGCUCUCCAUGUGUGAAAAGACCAUGCCAACACCUACCUCAGGAGGCCAGGAGAGAAAUACUUGUGAUCAGAGAGGAAUCAAUUUUGAGCAGGGCUGCAACAGAUUAGGUGAAAAAGAUGCAUCAUGUAUUGUAUGUAU